rnacentral:rRNA from 1 species
AUGCCGCCCAUCUCCCUCCUCCCCCUCCUCCUCCUCCUCCUCGCCGGCGCGGCGGCGGCGGCGGCGCCGGCCGAGCCCCCGACCCCGACCCCGACUCCCGCGCCGGGGAGGAACAAGACCAUCUACGAGCUCCUCCCGCUCUUCGGCCUCCCCCCGGGCGUCUUCCCCGCCAACGUCACCGCCUUCUCGCUCGCCGGCAACGGCAGCCUCGCCGUCGACCUCGCGGGCCCCUGCUACGUCCACUUCGAGUACCUCACCUACUUCGAGCCCCGCGUCACGGGCCUGCUCCGCUACGGCUCCCUCACCCAGCUGGAGGGCGUGCAGGUCCGCCGCUUCCUCGUCUGGUUCAGCGUCGUCCGCGUCAAGGUCGACCUGCCCCCGCCCCCGCGCUUCGUCUACCUCGACAUCGGCUGGAUCACCCGCAAGCUGCCCGCCGCCGACUUCCAGUCCGUCCACGCCUGCGAGGCCGGCAAGAGGCGGAGGCGGUGCCGCCUCUCCUCCGCGCUCGCCGCCGCCGCCGCUUGGUUCCAGGACUUCUUUGCCCAAUUUUAG